CGAGCGGCGAACGGGUGAGUAACGCGUAGGAAUCUGCCUGAUAGUGGGGGAUAGCCCGGGGAAACCCGGAUUAAUACCGCAUACGCCCUACGGGGGAAAGGCUUCGGCCGCAUUUGGAUGAGCCCGCGUCAGAUUAGCUAGUUGGUGGGGUAAUGGCCUACCAAGGCUACGAUCUGUAACUGGUCUGAGAGGACGAUCAGUCACACUGGAACUGAGACACGGUCCAGACUCC
rnacentral:rRNA from 1 species